rnacentral:lncRNA from 1 species
UCGUAUCAGACUCAAUAUACCUAUGACCAUCAUAUUUUGUGAUCGUAUCUAGCUCAAUACCUUUCUGAUUCAUAUCAAUCACCUUUUCGGCAUUCACGACCAUCUCCUCCUUACAAAGUGCAUCGAUCAACCAGGAUAUUGAAGGUGACAACAUCCGGAAAGAAACCGCCGUAAGUGACAACAUUCGGAAGGAAACCGUAAGUGACAACAUUUAGGACGGUCAUGCUUCAUCAGUUCGUAUGGGAGAGUACUAUCCCACAAACUGUAAAUUUAAAUUAGUUUUGAAUUGCUCUCGUGCCUCCGUUAUUUGAUAUUGAGAUUCUCUUUGCCUAUCUGAGAGCUUUCUCCGCUCUCCCCGCACAUGACAAGAACCACAGAUGAGCAACAGAUGAGCAGAAGCAUUUCUCGAAUCAACCAGGAUAUUGAAGGUGACAACAUCCGGUGACAACAUCCGGAAGGAAACAGUAAGUGACAGCAUUUGGAGCUAUACACCUACCGAUGAGAGGAGCUUCAAUGCUUCAUCAGUUUGUAUGAUGAAGAUACAAAAGACUACGUCAUGCUGGUAUCCUCUUUCUUCCAUCUUCCUGAGU